AACGAACGCUGGCGGCAUGCCUAACACAUGCAAGUCGAACGAGACCUUCGGGUCUAGUGGCGCACGGGUGCGUAACGCGUGGGAAUCUGCCCUUGGGUUCGGAAUAACUCGCCGAAAGGCGUGCUAAUACCGGAUGAUGACGUAAGUCCAAAGAUUUAUCGCCCAAGGAUGAGCCCGCGUUGGAUUAGCUAGUUGGUUAGGUAAAGGGUCACCAAGGCGAGGAUCCAUAGCUUGGUUGAGAGGAUGAUCAGCCACACUGGGACUGGGAAACGGCCCAGACUCCUACGGAAGGCAGCAGUGGGGAAUAUUGGACAAUGGGCGAAAGCAUGAUCCAGCAAUGCCGCGUGAGUGAUGAAGGCCUUAGGGUUGUAAAGCUCUUUUACCCGGGAUGAUAAUGACCGUACCGGGAGAAUAAGCUCCGGCUAACUCCGUG
rnacentral:rRNA from 1 species